rnacentral:rRNA from 1 species
ACGGGAGGCAGCAGUGGGGAAUAUUGGGCAAUGGGCGCAAGCCUGACCCAGCGACGCCGCGUGAGGGAAGAAGGUCUUCGGAUUGUAAACCUCUUUCAGCAGGGAAGACCAAGAGACGGUACCUGCAGAAGAAGUCACGGCUAACUACGUGCCGGCAGCCGCGGUAAUACGUAGGUGGCGAGCGUUAUCCGGAAUUACUGGGUGUAAAGGGUGUGUAGGCGGAGAGGCAAGUCAGGCGUGAAAUACGUGGGCUCAACCCACGAACUGCGCUUGAAACUGUUUCCCUUGAGAGUGGGAGAGGUAAACGGAAUUCCUGGUGUAGUAGUGAAAUGCGUAGAUAUCAGGAGGAACACCGGUGGCGAAGGCGGUUUACUGGACGGCAACUGACGUUGAGGCUCGAAGGCGUGGGGAGCAAACAGGAUUAGAUACCCUGGUA